CUCGAACAUGUGGAUGAAAUAACUCAGGAUGGGUAAUAGAACAGAGAGGAAAUGCUCAGCGUCGGGUGCCAGUGACCUGGAGUGGACUCUAACUUGCUCACUGCUCUGACCCCUUUCAGAGGUCCCUAGGGACAAAACCCCGCCUGCCCAGCAGUGUUCCCAGGAGGCUGCACAGAAAUGGAAUAUCUGAUUUGGAGGAGCAGCCCCUCAUACGUGGACCAGCAUAAGCCUGCAAUCUAGAGAAGUGUAUCUUCUCUGAAGACCGAAAUUUUCCCUCAGGUGAGGAUACCAAGGCCCUGAGCACACAGUUGUUCAAGAGCACAGAAUUAAUAAGUGGUGAAGACAGAUUUCAGACUCAGGAGACCAAUUCUUAACUGCUAUGCUACACUGAUGGAGUAUGCACCCAGCAAAUCUAAAUUUCAGCAAUGAUAAUGAAUUCCAAAAAAGAAAAUGACCCCAGAUCCAAGAAAAUGUGAGACUCAAGUGGGCAAUGAAAAACUCCUAAACUGACAACCACACAGCAGCCCUAGGAAGCAAAUGGCCCCAAAACAGUCAGAGGACUCUGUACAGAUUGUAUUCAGAAAGCAAGUCAUUUCCACUGUACAAGUUACAUGAAUAAGAACUCAAAAUAAAGAUCCUAAGCAGGUCUUAGUCAAUUCUAAUGAUAAAAUGAAGAUAUAUGUGAUUUUCUAAAAACAACAAAUAAAAUGGCAAUUAGAAACCUUGGGAAAAACGAGACAGUUUAAGAAAGUCAUGGUUCAAAUUUGAUGCAAACUGAAGCGUGCAGUAAUUGUGGGUAAAUGACGGAGUGGAAGAAAAGAGACCUUCUUUCACAGAACAUUGUCCUUGAGUGCCCAAAGUUUAAUUACGCAGUCCUUUAUUUCCUUUUCCAUGAGUCUAAUCAGAGGACUUGGUUCUGCAGUGAAUAAUGUUUACAUAAUCAGAAUGCAUUAAACACUGUUUAAGGGUUUUCACUUUUC
rnacentral:lncRNA from 1 species